rnacentral:rRNA from 1 species
GUAGUAAUACAAGGCAGACGGCUCAGUAACACGUAGUCAACCUACCCUAUGGACAAGAAUAAUCUCGGGAAACUGGGCAUAAUUCUUGAUAGAUCAUAAUGCCUGGAAUGGUUUAUGGUUAAAAUGAUUCGUCGCCAUAGGAUGGGACUGCGGCCUAUCAGCUUGUUGGUGAGGUAAUGGCCCACCAAGGCGAUUACAGGUACGGGCUCUGAGAGGGGAAGCCCGGAGAUGGGUACUGAGACACGGACCCAGGCCCUAUGGGGCGCAGCAGGCGAGAAAACUUUGCAAUGUGCGAAAGCACGACAAGGUUAAUCCGAGUGAUUUCUGCUAAAGAAAUCUUUUGCCAGUCAUAAAACCACUGGUGAAUAAGGGGUGGGCAAGUUCUGGUGUCAGCCGCCGCGGUAAAACCAGCACCUCAAGUGGUCAGGAUGAUUAUUGGGCCUAAAGCAUCCGUAGCCGGCUUUGUUAGUUUUCGGUUAAAUCCA